UGAUUCUAAUCUUAGGUCUAACCCAAUUAAGAAGAUCUGAUCAAGCUAACCCAUAAACCCAUAAACCCAUUACCCCAUGUUUUAUGUGAAUGUCAUUAGAUUUAUAAUUCACAAUUUUAGAUCCAAUUGGUUCAGCUUAAUUCUCAAUUAAGUAUAUUAUCAACAUGAGUUUAGGUUUAAGUUUUGAAAUAAUUUCAAUUUUAUAAAUAUUUUACAACUAAUUUAUGCAAAAGUAUAUCAGUUCUGAAACUGGGUCGGCUCCUUCCUAGACUGAGUCAGCUCACUUCAGUGGGUCGACUAAGUCUACUACUUG
rnacentral:lncRNA from 1 species